GAAGCAGGAGGACUAUAGCAGGAAAGGAAAGUAGUGGUUUAAUCCUCCACCCAGAGAGAUGGCAGAAUUGGAAGCAGGGUGCCGCUGGGACAAAGCGCUUUGUGACUGGUGAGCCUCUUCUGAUCAGUUCUUUCACAAAGAGGAGCGAUGGACAGCAUUCUGUGAAUUACAGAAUCACAGGAUUUAGAGACUGUGAAUUCCUUGAGAGCAGGAAAUAUCUUUUGUCCUUCUCCAGCAUUUUUAAGAAUGUAUGCUCCAUGAUAUUGAAGCUAAGACAAGAACCCAACUCAGUGAUCUUUCUACUACACUACAGUGCUGGUUGCAGGCUGCCAAAUCUUCUAAGUGACCCUUUCUUCCUCCAGCCAAUAGAAGUUUCUCCUCCCACCACCCUUUCUCUAUCCCUUUGGCCUGCUUCUCUGGGCAGCUGAGGGAAUGGCAUCAUGAAGUGGCAAGAAGGUUGGAUAUAGAAGAUUCAGGAAAACUGGCUUCAUAUCUAGGCUCCCGCACUUACUCACCAUGGCCCCAAUCACUUAACAUCU